rnacentral:rRNA from 1 species
UACGGAGGGUGCAAACGUUAAUCGGAAUUACUGGGCGUAAAGCGCGCGUAGGCGGUCUGGUAAGUGGGAUGUGAAAGCCCCGGGCUUAACCUGGGAACUGCAUUCCAAACUGUCAGGCUAGAGUUUGGUAGAGGGAGGUGGAAUUUCCUGUGUAGCGGUGAAAUGCGUAGAUAUAGGAAGGAACACCAGUGGCGAAGGCGGCCUCCUGGACCAAAACUGACGCUGAGGUGCGAAAGCGUGGGGAGCAAACAGG